CCUACGGGGGGCUGCAGUGGGGAAUAUUGGACAAUGGGCGAAAGCCUGAUCCAGCCAUGCCGCGUGUGUGAAGAAGGCCUUCGGGUUGUAAAGCACUUUCAGUGGGGAAGAAAGCCUUGGGGCUAAUACCCUCGAGGAAGGACAUCACCCACAGAAGAAGCACCGGCUAACUCCGUGCCAGCAGCCGCGGUAAUACGGAGGGUGCGAGCGUUAAUCGGAAUUACUGGGCGUAAAGCGCGCGUAGGCGGUCUGAUAAGCCGGUUGUGAAAGCCCCGGGCUCAACCUGGGAACGGCAUCCGGAACUGUCAGGCUAGAGUGCAGGAGAGGAAGGUAGAAUUCCCGGUGUAGCGGUGAAAUGCGUAGAGCUCGGGAGGAAUACCAGUGGCGAAGGCGGCCUUCUGGACUGACACUGACGCUGAGGUGCGAAAGCGUGGGUAGCAAACAGGAUUAGAUACCCUAGUAGUC
rnacentral:rRNA from 1 species